rnacentral:rRNA from 1 species
UACGUAGGGGGCGAGCGUUAUCCGGAUUUACUGGGUGUAAAGGGAGCGUAGACGGUUUUUCAAGUCUGAAGUGAAAGCACGCGGCUCAACUGCGGAACGGCUUUGGAAACUGAGGGACUAGAGUGCUGGAGGGGCAGGCGGAAUUCCUGGUGUAGCGGUGAAAUGCGUAGAUAUCAGGAGGAACUCCGAUUGCGAAGGCAGCUCACUGGACUGCAACUGACACUGAGGCUCGAAAGUGUGGGUAUCAAACAGG